rnacentral:rRNA from 1 species
CCUACGGGAGGCAGCAGUGGGGGAUAUUGCACAAUGGGGGGAACCCUGAUGCAGCGACGCCGCGUGGGUGAAGAAGCGCCUCGGCGCGUAAAGCCCUGUCAGCAGGGAAGAAAAUGACGGUACCUGAAGAAGAAGCCACGGCUAACUACGUGCCAGCAGCCGCGGUAAUACGGAGGGGGCAAGCGUUAUCCGGAUUUACUGGGUGUAAAGGGGGCGCAGACGGCGAUGCAAGCCAGGAGUGAAAGCCCGGGGCCCAACCCCGGGACUGCUCUUGGAACUGCGUGGCUGGAGGGCAGGAGGGGCAGGCGGAAUUCCUGGUGUAGCGGUGAAAUGCUUAGAUAUCAGGAGGAACCCCGGUGGCGACGGCGGCCUGCUGGACUGCACCUGCCGUUGAGGCCCGACCGCGUGGGGAGCACACAGGAUUAGAUACCCCUGUAGUC